CCUCUUCCUUUCUUCCUUCUUUCUUUUCUCUUCUUUCUUUUCUUUCUCUUUCUGCAAACCGGAGCCACUUUUUCCGGUGAAACCACCGCCACCGGCCGCACCACCGGCCAUUAGAGGAUCUUCUCUUGCUCCUCUUGUAUCUAAGCUUGUUUUGGGCUGUGGAGGAAGAAUUAAAGGUGUUUGGGGACGUGAACAGUAGCGUGAACAGUUCCAUCCGAGUUCUUGAGUUUGGGUUUGGAAUUCCGGCUUUUUCUGCUUGUUUUGGAGAUUUUCGCCGGAUUUCUUUGAAGUUUUGGGUUGUUGGGUUGUUGUUGAUGAUCAUAUCUAACUAUUGCAGCUUGUGUUGGCCAGUGGAGGAAGAUUUGAAGGUGUUCAGAGACGUGAACAGUGGCAUGAACAGUGCUGCCGAAUUCUUGUUAUUUUUGGGUUUAAAUUCGGCUAUUUCUGCUUGUAUUUGGUGGCUGCUGCAGGUAUAUAAAAAUGGUUGUGGGGGUUAUGAAGUUGAUUUUGGAUUAAAUAGGUUGAUUGAAAUUUGAUUUAAUCUUUGAGUUUUGUGUUAAACUUGAAAUUGUUGGGUAUUGAGAUUUCUUUGGAAAUUGAUGUUGAUUAUGGUUGUUUGA